rnacentral:lncRNA from 1 species
UGAAUAUCAAACACAUGGCAGAGUUGUUCUUUAGGCACUGUUGAUCAGCACACAUGUGGAUUAAAAUGUCAAGAAGACAGGAGAAGGAGCGUGCUGGAAUAUUUUAUGGAUGUUAGAAACAAUUUUUUACUGAUGCUAGCAAGCAUGCAUUUGCACACUGCAGUCAGUGCACAACGGAGCCAAAGGUGCUGUUUUGUUUACAUGUAACAUUAGCUAGCCAUUUGUUUGAGUUGUGCCCCAUCUGACAGUGAAAUGUGGCUAGCUCUUACCGCAGCUUGGACUAUGGAGAAGCUAGAGAUGCAAAAGCCCAUUGCAUGCUUUUGCAAGUGUCUAUGUGGCGAUCCCCCUGCUUGUAGAGGCCAUGGUAUUCAGGGUUCGCAGUGGAGCUGGGCCAGGGCUUGGCCAGUGCCGUGGGAUGGAGUGACUGCAGCCCUCCCCUCCGGGCAGCUCCAUGCAGUGGCGCUGACUCUGUCAUCUCACUCCAGAGCAAAGAAACAGAGAGGAUCCAGGCAGAAUUCACAGCUACUGACCCCACAGGGUGCCGUGAACUGGGCCCAUGUGAUAUGACUGCAUGCUCUUUUUCUAUUGAGAGAGUGCUGUCGGUUGCACAUUCCUGAUACCAAUAUAAACCAUAAGUUAAGCAAAAGUAACUUUCCAGGGCCUAUUCUUCAGUGAGAAAUAUGUACUUUUGUUAAGCUUUGUGCCUUAGGGACGCAUCGAAAUUCACAGAAUGGUUACCUGGAGGAAAAUGGUGGAAGGUCAUGGUUUUUCAAUUUUAGGCAAGGGGAGGCUUUAGUAUUUUUUAAACCUAGUUCAUGGGAGGGUCAUGUAAUUUGUAAUUGAUGAAAUGUAAAUAUUUCAAAGUGCUUAGCAAUUAGUUGCUUACUAGGCUACAUAUCAUCUGAUUCUCUGCUGGGCACGCAAUAUCAAGUGCACCUAUAUACUAUUUAGUGUGGUAUUAAUCAAAUGAUCCGUAGCCUAUAGACUAUAGGCUAUGAAGUGCAUGCUCAGAGAAGCACAGAGCAAAGUUAUAUUUCUAAGAUAGCUGAGGGAUGGUGUGAAUAAAGCUAGGCUGCAUUACACACUGCAAUGGAUAAUCAAAUGUUUUAUUUUUAGCCCUUGUUUCUCCCCAAUUUGUAGUUAGUCUUGUCCCAUCUCUGCAACUCAAGUACGGACUCUGGAGAGGCGAAGUCAGCUUGCAGGCGUCUCUAGAGCCCGAUGGGACAAGGAAAUCCAAGGCCGGCCAAACCCUCCGCUAACCCAAAUGACGCUGGGCCAAUUGUGCACCGCCUCAUGGGUCUCCCGGUCACGGCCGAUUGUGACACAGCCUGGGAUUGAACCCGGGGCUGUAGUGAUGCCUCAAGCACUGUGAUGCUGUGCCUUAGACCGCUGCGCCACUCGGAGGGCUGUGCAAUGGAUAUUCUAACCCUGAACCCCGGCCUGCUCUGCUCUUACUGAUCAAAACCUUUUUUGUGUGCUGCUUAACCAAUGGUUGUGCUUUGUAGGGCUACAGUGGCAUUUCAGGAGGAGAGUCAAGCGUUUCUAAUAAAAAAUGCACCAUCUUGCAAGCGGACUAGCUUAUAGACUAUGUUCUGUUCAGUUUGAAAAGGAGGGCACGAAGAUGAGGAGGACCGGAGAUCAACUUUGAUAGCUUGCUACUACUAUAAUAGAUUUUAUUAAA